UUUAACAGGAGAAUUCCACCACUAGAUGUACAGAUCAUGUUGCUUUAGGAAUUGUGACCUUGUUCCUGUACUUGAAGGACCCAUAUUCAAAAAAUGGAUAUGAGGGGUACUAUGAUGCAGAUAGCGGAUCAGGAUAUCUAGCCUGGAGAAUUAAAACAAUUCAGUGCAAUUCUGUGAUGGCAACAGACAGGAAAGCCAGCACUGAUUUAUAAAGAUGGGCCAAGAGUACAGUGAGAAAUACAUACGAACGAGGAGCAGCUGACUGGGCAGCGGUGUAGAGAAGCCAUUUCGCUUCUGAAAUAUUCCUCCGACACACAAAUGAUACAGCAAUAAAUGAGAGCAACAUUUGAUUACCGUCAAAUUCUUCAUUUUCAUCUGCUGCAUCUGAUGACUUGGAUGCCACUCAUUUUGGAGGAAAUCUAAGGCUUAUCUAAGAAAAUGAGGCUCAUAGAUAAAAGCCUGUGGUGCUGAACAUGCAAAACAAGCAGGCUUAACACCACUUAGAAACCGGCUUUGUGGCAGUAUACAUUCAGUUUAACAAUGUACAAAAAUUGAUAUAAAAAACAAAUAGAAUUUCAUGUGUAAGAAGUUUAGGACACCCUGGAUUCUUGAUAGAACCAUGCUAACAGCAUGUGUGUUUGCUAAUUUAUCUUGAUUCAAGGUUUAAAAUGUUAAUUGUUAAUUUUGCAUUGAUACAUUAUUUUUUCAGGUGAUUAGUUGCAUACUUCAGUGUAAGCCAGGUGGUGACAAAGUCAUGGAUGAAUAUGCAAAAACCACGACUUUAUUAGACAGAAGACAGAGGCAGAUGGUUAAUAUAAUGGUAGCAGAUAUGACAGACGUAUAUGGGUAAUUCAGCUUCCAAAACAGUAAACAAAGUUAGAUCAAUUAUUAAUGUUCCAAAAUAUAGAGUGUAUUAUAUUAAAUACAUUUUAAUAGUUCACGACUUAUAUCCAGAGAUCCAUUGUGAAUUUCUCAGAUGGAUACCUUAACACAUGGGGUUACUUUUCGUAUGAUAUCUCAUCAUUUAUGUAUCCUUUAACAGGAGAAUUCCACCACUAGAUGUACAGAUCAUGUUGCUUUAGGAAUUGUGACCUUGUUCCUGUACUUGAAGGACACAUAUUCAAAAAAUGGAUAUGAGGGGUACUAUGAUGCAGAUAGCGGAUCAGGAUAUCUAGCCUGGAGAAUUAAAACAAUUCAGUGCAAUUCUGUGAUGGCAACAGACAGGAAAGCCAGCACUGAUUUAUAAAGAUGGGCCAAGAGUACAGUGAGAAAUACAUACGAACGAGGAGCAGCUGACUGGGCAGCGGUGUAGAGAAGCCAUUUCGCUUCUGAAAUAUUCCUCCGACACACAAAUGAUACAGCAAUAAAUGAGAGCAACAUUUGAUUACCGUCAAAUUUCGUUCAUGAUCCAGAAAUGUCUUGGAGUCACAGAGGUGUUCCCACUGUUUCUGGACACACAA